rnacentral:snRNA from 1 species
GUGCUCGGUACAGCAGCACAUAUACAAAAAAAAAAAUUGGAAUCAUACAGAGAUUAGCAUGGCGCUGCGCAAGGAUAACACGCAAAUUCAUGAAGUAUGCCAUUAUUUU